ACAAAACAAUCAUCUAUUAUAAAUUAUUAUGUUUGUGUUUGCUAUAUGCAAUUGUAAAAUCGAUAAGGUGCUUGUGUGCAACUUUACGAUUUAUUUUAGGAAGUUAAAGUUAAAUCCUACGUAAAAUCUAAUGACAACAACAAUGAAAAUGAAAAAUCAACCACACCCAUAAACUAAACAUGAAACGCUGGAUACAAGAUAUUAAUUCCUCUCUGGGACAACAAUACUAAAACGACCAUCAGACCACCUAGUUACCUACCUACUAACUAGAAGGAUAAUGGAAAUAAGAUACAGAAAUGAAAUCAAGCAAUUGUGUAUAUUGGUGUCAGAAAAAAUACUCAACCAGUGUGUGUUAUUCACCCAAAUAAAGUUUUACGUCCAUAAAA